GAUGCACCCUUCUAUCCAAUCCUCUCCUUCUCUCUCUUCUUCUUCUCCUCCAACCCCUCUCUCUAUUCCUCCUGAGAGUGAACCUCUCCCUUUCUCUCUAGAAAGAGAGAAAGGGAGAGAGAAAGGACCUUUAAAGAGACAGUUGAGUGGGACUGCGACGAAAAUGUACUUAAAAAGUGAUUUAAAUUCUCCUUCGACUACUAUUGUUAUGACUCCUACCAGGCGUCUUUCUCCUGUUUUGAAGAAUACGAGAGGGCAAGUGGCCACAAAAAAUUCAACAUCAUCAGAAGUUUUACUUUCUGUGACGGUUGGUGGUUGUCUUUGUGGUUUAUUGAAAGCUACUGAGAGUGGUCAUUUUGAG
rnacentral:ribozyme from 13 species